UAGCAGCAGCAUUUCAACCACGAAGAGAGAGAAGGAAGUCCUUUGCAGGUGAAUAUCCCAAAGCAUGGACUGAGGACACAGGAUGCAACUACCUUGCUGAAGCUAAGCAGCAUACAGAAACAAAACUGAACAGAUAUACAAUAAUAAAGGAAUGUGCAGUUGGUUGUGAUUGUCUUUUCCGAAUUGUACUCUUGACUCUCCUUGUCAGCUAAUGUUCUGUGGGUGGAAGUAAUUAUGCCAGCCUUCGCCAGCCUGGUGCCGUCCAGACACUCUCGUUUCCAUCUCCUAUCAGCUCCCAUGGGAAUGGAAGUCCACCACAUCUGGAGGUUUUGUUAUAGCAUGUGCCUUUUUUGAAUCCUCAAUUAUCACACAGAGCAAGCAGAUGUGGGGCCGCUUGCUAGAAGCGGAAAAACUAUGGACUGAAAGAGGCCCCCUUUUCUUCUUUCUGGUUUCCUAAGCUGUGCCCGGAUCACUAUAUACAGGAAGUGUUUAAAUAAUCUGUUUGCAAGCUGAGGAACCUGGAAAAUUGCAGGACUUUUACACUGGCUGCAGCGGCUCGCGUGCCAGGCAUCCCAGUAUAUCAUGCAUUCCUGCCUUUUAGAUAGAUUGCUGUCUUCAAAAACUGAAAGGCUACCAUGCAGAAGAUGGAAUGGACUUGUUCUUUGCUGCUCCAGAGGACAGGAUUAGAACAAAUGUCUGGAGAUUGCAAGGAGCAGAUUUUGGCUAAGCGUUAGAAGAAACUUGCUAACGGCAAGAGCUGCUCAACAGUGGAACAGAGUGUCUUGAAAGGUGGUGGGCUCUCUUUCAUUGGAGGUAUUUAAGCAAAGGCCAGACGGCCAUCUGCCAGGAAUGUUAUAAUUAUCUCAUGUGCUUCAGAUCUGCAUUUUGCAGGGGAUGGGCUAGAUGACCUUCAAGAGCCCUUCCAACAUUGAUUCUAUGAACUGCUUUGUGUGUAGUAUUUACAGAAAAGCAGUAUACAAAUAAAGUGAU